rnacentral:rRNA from 1 species
AUACGUAGGGGGCGAGCGUUGUCCGGAAUGAUUGGGCGUAAAGGGCGCGUAGGCGGCCCGGUAAGUCUGGAGUGAAAGUCCUGUUUUUAAGAUGGGAAUUGCUUUGGAUACUGUCGGGCUUGAGUGCAGGAGAGGUAAGUGGAAUUCCCAGUGUAGCGGUGAAAUGCGUAGAGAUUGGGAGGAACACCAGUGGCGAAGGCGACUUACUGGACUGUAACUGACGCUGAGGCGCGAAUGUGUGGGGAGCAAACAGGAUUAGAUACCCUGGUAGUCCACACUGUAAACGAUGAAUGCUAGGUGUAGGGGGUAUCGACCCCUUCUGUGCCGCAGUCAACACAAUAAGCAUUCCGCCUGGGGAGUACGGCCGCAAGGUUGAAACUUAAAGGAAUUGACGGGG